rnacentral:rRNA from 1 species
GGAUUAGAUACCCUGGUAGUCCACGCCGUAAACGAUGUCAACUAGCUGUUUGUGUUCUUGAAACGUGAGUAGCGUAGCUAACGCGCUAAGUUGACCGCCUGGGGAGUACGGCCGCAAGGUUAAAACUCAAAUGAAUUGACGGGGGCCCGCACAAGCGGUGGAGCAUGUGGUUUAAUUCGAUGCAACGCGAAGAACCUUACCAUCCCUUGACAUCCACAGGAGAGACUAGAGAUAGACUUGUGCCUUCGGGAACUGUGAGACAGGUGCUGCAUGGCUGUCGUCAGCUCGUGCCG